AAACUUUCAACAACGGAUCUCUUGGUUCUGGCAUCGAUGAAGAACGCAGCGAAAUGCGAUAAGUAAUGUGAAUUGCAGAAUUCAGUGAAUCAUCGAAUCUUUGAACGCACAUUGCGCCCUCUGGUAUUCCGGGGGGCAUGCCUGUUCGAGCGUCAUUACAC
rnacentral:rRNA from 1 species